rnacentral:rRNA from 1 species
GGGGAGUGCGGUGGGCAAGACUGAGACUCGGAAGGAAUUGGGGUAGGCACGCACAGGCGGUAGAGCAUGUGGUUUAAUUUGAAGCAACACGAAGAACCUUACCAGGUCUUGACAUCCUCUGACAAUCCUAGAGAUAGGACGUCCCCUUCGGGGGCAGAGUGACAGGUGGUGCAUGGUUGUCGUCAGCUCGUGUCGUGAGAUGUUGGGUUAAGUCCCGCAACGAGCGCAACCCUUGAUCUUAGUUGCCAGCAUUCAGUUGGGCACUCUAAGGUGACUGCCGGUGACAAACCGGAGGAAGGUGGGGAUGACGUCAAAUCAUCAUGCCCCUUAUGACCUGGGCUACACACGUGCUACAAUGGACAGAACAAAGGGCAGCGAAACCGCGAGGUUAAGCCAAUCCCACAAAUCUGUUCUCAGUUCGGAUCGCAGUCUGCAACUUGACUGCGUGAAGCUGGAAUCGCUAGUAAUCGCGGAUCAGCAUGCCGCGGUGAAUACGUUCCCGGGCCUUGUACACACCGCCCGUCACACCACGAGAGUUUGUAACACCCGAAGUCGGUGAGGUAACCUUUUAGGAGCCAGCCGCCGAAGGUGUACACGAGCUUU